UUUUCUUUGUUUUUGUUCUUUGUUUUGUUUUGUUUUUGUUUUCUUUCAAAAAAAAAUUGCAUUUUUGUUAAAAGUUUUAGGCUAUAAAAUAAUUUGAGGUUGGUUUGUAGAGACUUGGGAAAAGUUCACAAGAUCGGUAUCGUUUUAACACCUUAAAUAUCUUAAAUAUGAAAAUCAUUUUGAAUACUUGUUAUGACAUAGCCUUGAGUUCUCAUUUUUCUUAUAGCUCUUGAGUAGUUUAUUUCAGCAGUCAGCAUCAUCUCACACGCACUUUACGCAGGGAAGCCGAUGAAUAUAAGUGAGUGCCCCAGAAAAAAAAAACAAAAAAAAA
rnacentral:lncRNA from 1 species